ACCUUCCCGGGCACAUCAACCUGAGCCCUCAGGGCUAAUCAACACACUAACACGUCAGUAAGACUCAGCUGGCAACGUUUGUAAAGAUGCCUCAAAUACCUUAGCCCAAAGCAUGGCCCUUCUAAAUCUCAGAUCUGCCCCCGCUGGAAUUCAGGGACUUGGACUUGCACACGGAAUGGUGGCCUGAAGGCAGAGAUUUCUAAUAAUUGAAGCAGACGAUAUCCGAUGGGGACAGCUUUCCCAAGCUGCCUCGAUCAGGAGCUCCCAGGAGACGGACAGGAUUCUGAGUUUGCCGCAGGAAGAACUUCCCUCCCCAGGGCUGGAGAAAGUGCCAGUGAACACAUGAUGAGAAAUCUCUCCCUAACAUCAAGAGAACAGGCCAAUUCCACAGUCAACAGAGGAGCCGAGCUUCAGGAUAAGUUGUCCAAGGUAGUUCGAGACAAUUGCAUAGCCCUUGAUUAUCUACUUGCUGAACAAUGAAGCAUCUGUGUGACAGGAAACAUCGCCUACCUGCUGCAGGUAGAUACACGCCUCAGGGGAGGUACAAAGCCGAUUACACAGAAUGAGAGGAAAAAACACUCUGGCUACAGCAAAUUCCACC